CGUACACUCCUGCGGGAGGCAGCAGUGGGGAAUUUUGGACAAUGGGCGAAAGCCUGAUCCAGCCAUGCCGCGUGCAGGAUGAAGGCCUUCGGGUUGUAAACUGCUUUUGUACGGAACGAAACGGCCUUUUCUAAUAAAGAGGGCUAAUGACGGUACCGUAAGAAUAAGCACCGGCUAACUACGUGCCAGCAGCCGCGGUAAUACGUAGGGUGCAAGCGUUAAUCGGAAUUACUGGGCGUAAAGCGUGCGCAGGCGGUUAUGUAAGACAGUUGUGAAAUCCCCGGGCUCAACCUGGGAACUGCAUCUGUGACUGCAUAGCUAGAGUACGGUAGAGGGGGAUGGAAUUCCGCGUGUAGCAGUGAAAUGCGUAGAUAUGCGGAGGAACACCGAUGGCGAAGGCAAUCCCCUGGACCUGUACUGACGCUCAUGCACGAAAGCGUGGGGAGCAAACAGGAUUAGAAACCCUAGUAGUCCCAU
rnacentral:rRNA from 1 species